UUUCUACAUAAGCAAAUGAAGGUCUUGCUUGGCACGCAACACUCUUUAAGAAAUCUCAUAAUGUGGUCAAAAUACUAAAUCUAAUCUUAUAACAUUUAGGUGUAAGUUGAGUAAAAUGAAGGCAGUCAAGAUAAUCCUCCAUUCACUUAGCCACACUUAGUUGUCUAAUUAAAACAAUUCAAAAUACAAAGCCAAAACAUCAACAAUUUGAUCUAAAUAUGCAAUAGUGAGAAUGCUUUAGACAAUUUUAUUGGUGUGAUGCGUUAGACAAUUUAUUUGGAAGUAAAAUUAUUAUUAUGACAUGUUCAAUUAUCCUAUGUGCAUUGGACCUCUACCAAGUAAGGUGCAUAGUUAAUUUUUUUUCCCUAAGAAUGAAAUUCACAUUACUUGCAUUAUUCACAAUUUCCUUCUAGUCCAAUUUUGUCUCUCACACAAAAUAAUACGUAAAUUAG
rnacentral:lncRNA from 1 species